rnacentral:rRNA from 1 species
CACUCUAGAGAGACUGCCAGGGAUAACCUGGAGGAAGGUGGGGAUGACGUCAAAUCAUCAUGCCCCUUAUGCUUAGGGCUACACACGUGCUACAAUGGGUAGUACAGAGGGUUGCCAAGCCGUAAGGUGGAGCUAAUCCCUUAAAGCUACUCUCAGUUCGGAUUUUAGGCUGAAACUCGCCUACAUGAAGCUGGAGUUACUAGUAAUCGCAGAUCAGAAUGCUGCGGUGAAUGCGUUCCCGGGUCUUGUACACACCGCCCGUCACACCACGGGAGUUGGAGACGCCCGAAGC